UACGUAGGGUGCAAGCGUUGUCCGGAAUUAUUGGGCGUAAAGAGCUCGUAGGCGGUUUGUUGCGUCGGCUGUGAAAUCCCGAGGCUCAACCUCGGGUCUGCAGUCGAUACGAGCAAACUAGAGUGUUGCAGGGGAGACUGGAAUUCCUGGUGUAGCGGUGAAGUGCGCAGAUAUCAGGAGGAACACCAGUGGCGAAGGCGGCUUCCUGGCCUGUAACUGACGCUGAGACGCGAAAGCGUGGGGAGCGAACCGG
rnacentral:rRNA from 1 species